rnacentral:lncRNA from 1 species
GUCUUUUCUCCUUUACAUGGUGAAGGGACAAGUCGCAAAAAUGUUGGCUGCAAGUUACUUUAUGCUCUGUCAUUCCACAAAUGUUUAUAAGGUGUAAACACGGGGCCAAAACCUUUUGAAGAAUAAACAACGUGCCAGAAACAAUACAAAGAAUCAUGAGCAAUCUCUACUCCAGACACAUGGGUAGCCUCAAGGACUCUGAACAAACUCAAAUGAUUCAGUUAGCUGCUCUGGCUCUGGACCAUAGCAACCGCCAGAAAGCAGCUUCUGGUGCCUCACCACCCCGUGGCUGUCAACUCCCGGAUUAAAGCCUGUCUUACCCAGAAGUCCUCGCUGACUAACACUUCCUACCAACGGCCAGCUCUUGCUUCCACUGUGGCAAGUAUAACAGCUAUGUUCUUGGCUCCAGUGGCCUUUGGCAAUCUAUUUUAAAAUUCCAAUCAUCCUUCCAAAAGUGCUUCACAAAAAGAAAAAAAAAACACAAUUGUUAUUAUACCUAUGUACAGUGUUGGAGGCUCCCCC